GAUUAAUGGGUGAAGAUCGGGUUGUACGAAGAAAAUCAGAUAGAAUUCGGUUCGCAAACCACCGUAAACCAUCGAUAUCGAUCGCAAAAGCUCGACAUAAGUCUGAAACGAUGCAUGAAAGGAGAAAAAAAAAAGUGGAAACGGAACGUUUGAUCCUGGAUAACGAAUGUGGCAAGCGCGGUGCUCGGUGUAUAACAACGCCGAUACGGUUCCGUGUGUCGUAACAGCUGCGAGUAGAUGGAGUGCACACAGAGGGCAGAAGAGCGAAAGAGAAGGGGAGAGGAACGAAACGAGAGGGUGGUUCCUGUGAUCUACAUUUUAAUCUUCCAGCAUCGAUGAAACGAGGGAAUCAAAGCAUCGUUCGGUUAUACGCGCUGAAAAAUCAAAUUCAAUGACUCGAAUGCAUUUGAACGUUGUCAAAGCAGCUAGGGGCAAUAGCCGCUAUGGCAAAGACCCAUGCGAUAGCCAUGCGCGAAAUAGCCGAAAUUUAUAAGCAUUUUUAAAAAUAUUAUCACUGCGAAAAGAGGAAAUAUCAGAAAUAUAAAUAAUAAUUUCGAAAAUAUUAAAUCUUCGGUAAAAUAUGAAAAGCUUGGCGUGUAACUGUCGCGUGUUAUCGCUGCGGCAGAAUCUCCACUGUUUUCAAUAAAAUGCUUGCUUUUUAGGAGGGAAAAACGACAGUAUGAAAUUGGUGAAACAUCGUGUUAAUAGUCUUUUUAUGUUGUUACGAUUAUCGUAAAAAUCGGUAACAAAAGAGAUAAUUUACUUUUCAAAUCAAUGGCUGAUUUAUUAUCUUUAUAAAAUACAAAAAAAAAACAAGAAAAAGAAAACAACGAAAGAAGCGACUCGAUCAGAGAAACGAUAAAGUCGAUAUGUAAAUAAUAAAUCCAUAAAGUCUUACACCGUGAAUUGAAUUUUAAUGCGAUUACGCUUAUUAAAUUACGAUAAAUUAUGAGAUCAAAGGCGGAAGUUAAUGAUUUACAAAUUCAAAACAGUCGCUAUCUACGAAUUAUCAUUAUUCGGACCAAUGACUCAGGGGUCUUAAAGAUAUUGUUUUCUGCGUAAUUUCUACUGAUAAUAUAUUAGAAAUAUCGUCAUUAUCUCUGAGUCUAAAAUUGCAAUCGCAUUCCUUGCAAAUUAUCGGUAACAAGCUGUACGAUCUUAAAUUCAUCGAUAUAUCAGAGUGAAAAGGACAAUUAGUUUUAUUAGCCGCAAUUGUGACUAAAAUAUCCGUUUGUUACAAAACGUCUUUUAUCAAAAAAGAAGAUCUAUUAAAAGGAAGAAAAAAAAUAUGGCGCGCUAAAGAUAGAAAGACAUUAAACCUCCAGCCACAAGCGAUUUCUUUUACUAAACUCGAUCUAUUCGUUCGUAUAACAGUCUUCGGUCAUAUAGGAAACGUUAUAUCCAAUAAAUAGCAGUCGUGGCAGAAAGUAUCAAUCAAUUUCAGAUAAUUGGUAUUUUAUCGGGCCUUCGUUUGUUAUCUCGAGUCAUUUUUAAACGUACUUAUUUACCUGCUAUAAUUCCGUUAAUUCUAUUUAAUAUCGUUACAAAACUGAUCACGUAUCUAAAUUGCUUCCUCUUCUAGCACAUUUUAAACGAUCAAUACAGAUAAU